UUUAUUGGAGAGUUUGAUCCUGGCUCAGGAUGAACGCUGGCGGCGUGCCUAAUACAUGCAAGUCGAGCGAAUGGAUUAAGAGCUUGCUCUUAUGAAGUUAGCGGCGGACGGGUGAGUAACACGUGGGUAACCUGCCCAUAAGACUGGGAUAACUCCGGGAAACCGGGGCUAAUACCGGAUAACAUUUUGAACUGCAUGGUUCGAAAUUGAAAGGCGGCUUCGGCUGUCACUUAUGGAUGGACCCGCGUCGCAUUAGCUAGUUGGUGAGGUAACGGCUCACCAAGGCAACGAUGCGUAGCCGACCUGAGAGGGUGAUCGGCCACACUGGGACUGAGACACGGCCCAGACUCC
rnacentral:rRNA from 1 species